UACUCUUGCUGACUGCUGCAUCGGUGUUCAUUCAUUGGUUUUCAGCCACUGCUCUUCGGUACGAAUCCAGGCGCGAAAAGUCUACUAUGGGCCAGAAUUAAUUCAUUUAGUUUCAGAAUUAGAAACCGGAACACAUAUGCACCAUGCAUUUUCUUUUCCUUUUAAUUUAAAGGUUAAAAUACCUGCCAAGAAAGAAAAAUGUGAAGGAGGACUUCGUUCGCAAAAGGAUAUGUUUAUAGGUGGCCAGGUUGAUGAUGUGCAUUGAAGAAAAUCCAAAUUCAAGGAGAUUCUACAGAGACUUUUUGGGUCAUUUGAAUAAUUCAAUUAUUUGUAAUUUUGAACUAUUUUUAUUGCUGAAAUGGUCUGGAAAUGUACGAACAAAUAUGAGUAAAACAAGAAAAAUAUUGUAUGAUAUUGUACACAAGUAGUGGGACUUAAAUAUUUAGCUUAUUCUGUGUGCAAGUUGACUUAUGUGAGAGGAUGGCAUAACGUUUUGUGAUAUCCAUUUUCACUACAUAUGAUCAAGAUUUUUAUUCGUCACAUACAAAAUUAUAUAUAUAUAGCAUAUAUAACCAGCAGUGACAUUUCCUUGAUCAAGCUUUAUUUGUCAUUAUGAAAAUAUACUGACAGCUGAUGCAUUCUGUUGAUUGUGCAUAAAAGAUGACCUCAGUACAAGACGCAACACAAUUAUUAGAGUUCAUUGACUUGUAAAAGAGGCAGUUAGCAAUUUAGAACUUUUAAGUCCACCAAAGUCUGUUUUAUAGUCUUUGUAGCCUGGUUUGCACAUUUUUAUGUUUAUUCAAAAUUAUUUUUAAUAACAUUUUAGGACUGUUGGCCUCAUAUCACUUCCUUGCCAAUUCAGGGAGUGAAAUCUUAACGAUAGCCUUGUCUCAGAACUUCCUCACUCUUCCACUCUACUGAUCUGAAAUGCCUGGAUAGGUGAAAACAAUAUGGCCGACAGUCUAAUGUAGCCAAGCUCUCCAAACUGCACUAAUGGAGUACCUUGUGUGCUUGUCUGGUAGUUUAAGAUGGAUGAUUUCCAACACACUUACAUAUUCACAAAUGGAAGCAGUUUAAAAAACCUUUAUAUGACUACUUUAGUUUUUGUCUGCAGUGAAAUAUUGUGGUUAUUUAUUAUGAUGAUGUUCCAAGCUAUUUUACAGAAAGGCAAAAACAUUUACUUUCAUUUUUAUGAUGAAAUUGUAACUAUCAACCAUUGUAUUGUACAAAUUAUUUCUGUAUGAUUUGUAUUUGAUCUUCAUAGAAGGUUCAAAUAAAGAUUUUUGUUUGUUCACAUUUUAUUGUAACAAUCUGAUAAUGCAAAGUAUCAAAUGUUCUUCUUUUCACCUGUUACUAUUAUAAAUAAUUAUGACCAAAUUAUUGCAUUUCAGAUAUUGGAAUGUGUUUAGGUUUAAAACCCAUCUCAAAAACAGUUGUGACCAUUUUUUUCACAGAGAUUUAUUAUUACUUGCUAAAAACUAAUUUCUUAGCAAUGAAUUAGAUUUGUUUUUAUGUACAUUUUGUCUAUGGUUUUUAAAUUCAAAAUGUUAAAGCAAGUUGACAAUUACUGUAUUGUACAUAACUACUGAAAAAAAAUUAUGCUUUCAUUCCAAGCUUUAAAUAAAAACAUAAGACUAAGUAGCACAUCAAAGCAUGUCUUUUCAGAAUAAAAAGCACAGUUAUUUUGAGGUCUUUAUUUCUUGAAAAAGACACAAAGCAACACAAAUUACUCCUGAAAAUAAAGGUAUUUGUCACAGAUAAAUGGAGGCAAUCUCAGCAUGCUUUCUCAAGUACAUGAUGCUCUGCCUCAUGGAUGUACAGUAACUCACACACACACACUCACUCACUCACUCUCAGUACUGCAUUCAUACCUGCUAAAAGAUGCCCAGUAUAUAGAAAAACUCAUAUCACACCAUAGGAACGCACAACCAAAAAAAAAAAAAAAAA